rnacentral:RNase_P_RNA from 1 species
GGGGCGGGCCGGGCAAUCGCGGUGCUUGCAGGCAUCGAGGAAGGUCCGGACUCCACAGAGCGCGGUAGCGGCCAACGGCCGUCCGGCGUUGCGGCGCGUGGUCGUCGCCAAGCCGAGGAACAGGGCCACAGAGACGAGUCUGCGGCGCGGGCGUGCCUGGCACGCACCGGCACGGCGACUUCCGUGCCGCGCGCCCUCCAGUGGGGGGCGCGGCAUCGCAGGGUGAAACGCGGCAACCUCUACCGGGAGCAACACCAAAUAGAUAUGCGUGGGCGUUCGCGCCCGAAGAGUGGCUCGCUCGAGCAUAUGGGUAGGUGGCUAGAGCGUACUCGCAAGAGUUCGCCCAGAUGAAUGAUUGCCCGCCGGGUGCGCCCGGCGUACAGAAUCCGGCCUACAGGCUCGCCUCAGUU